rnacentral:rRNA from 1 species
GGUUAAGUGAAUAAGGGCGCACGGUGGAUGCCUUGGCACUAGGAGCCGAUGAAGGACGGGACUAACACCGAUAUGCUUUGGGGAGCUGUACGUAAGCUAUGAUCCAGAGAUUUCCGAAUGGGGGAACCCAACAUCUUUAAUAGGAUGUUACGAUUGUGUGAAUACAUAGCACAUUCGAGGUAGACGCAGAGAACUGAAACAUCUAAGUACCUGCAGGAAGAGAAAGAAAAUUCGAUUCCCUGAGUAGCGGCGAGCGAAACGGGAAAAGCCCAAACCAGCAAGCUUGCUUGUUGGGGUUGUAGGACUCCAAUAUGGUAGUUCUUUCAGAUAGUCGAAUGACUUGGAAAAGUCAGUCAAAGAGGGUAAAAACCCCGUAGACGAAAUGUGGAAGACACCUAGGAGGAUCCUGAGUACGGCGGAACACGAGAAAUUCCGUCGGAAUCCGGGAGGACCAUCUCCCAAGGCUAAAUACUCCCUAGUGACCGAUAGUGAACCAGUACCGUGAGGGAAAGGUGAAAAGCACCCCGGAAGGGGAGUGAAAUAGAACCUGAAACCGUGUGCCUACAACAAGUCAAAGCCCGUUAAUGGGUGAUGGCGUGCCUUUUGUAGAAUGAACCGGCGAGUUACGAUUGCAUGCGAGGUUAAGUUGAAGAGACGGAGCCGCAGCGAAAGCGAGUCUGAAUAGGGCGUUUGAGUAUGUAGUCGUAGACCCGAAACCAUGUGAUCUACCCAUGUCCAGGUUGAAGGUGCGGUAAAACGCACUGGAGGACCGAACCCACGUACGUUGAAAAGUGCGGGGAUGAGGUGUGGGUAGCGGAGAAAUUCCAAACGAACUUGGAGAUAGCUGGUUCUCUCCGAAAUAGCUUUAGGGCUAGCCUCGGAAUUGAGAAUGAUGGAGGUAGAGCACUGUUUGGACUAGGGGCCCAUCUCGGGUUACCGAAUUCAGAUAAACUCCGAAUGCCAUUCAUUCAUAUCCGGGAGUCAGACUGUGAGUGAUAAGAUCCAUAGUCGAAAGGGAAACAGCCCAGACCACCAGCUAAGGUCCCAAAAUAUAUGUUAAGUGGAAAAGGAUGUGGGGUUGCACAGACAACUAGGAUGUUGGCUUAGAAGCAGCCACCAUUUAAAGAGUGCGUAAUAGCUCACUAGUCGAGUGACCCUGCGCCGAAAAUGUACCGGGGCUAAACAUAUUACCGAAGCUGUGGAGUACACCUUUAGGUGUAUUGGUAGGAGAGCGUUCUAAGGGCGUUGAAGGCAGAUCGUGAGGACUGCUGGAGCGCUUAGAGUGUGAGAAUGCCGGUAUGAGUAGCGAAAGACAGGUGAGAAUCCUGUCCACCGAAUGACUAAGGUUUCCUGGGGAAGGCUCGUCCGCCCAGGGUUAGUCGGGACCUAAGCCGAGGCCGACAGGCGUAGGCGAUGGAUAACAGGUUGAUAUUCCUGUACCCGUUGUUUUUGUUUGAGCAAUGGAGGGACGCAGGAGGCUAAGGAAUGCAGACGAUCGGAAAUGUCUGUCCAAGCAGUAAGUCUGAAGAGGAGUCAAAUGCUUCUUUUCUUAAGGACAAGCUGUGAUGGGGAGGGAAAUAAUAGUACCGAAGUUCCUGAUGUCACACUGCCGAGAAAAGCUUCUAGUGAGAAAACAGCGGCCCGUACCGCAAACCGACACAGGUAGUCGAGGAGAGAAUCCUAAGGUGAGCGAGAGAACUCUCGUUAAGGAACUCGGCAAAAUGACCCCGUAACUUCGGGAGAAGGGGUGCUGAUCAUACGAUCAGCCGCAGUGAAUAGGCCCAAGCGACUGUUUAUCAAAAACACAGGUCUCUGCAAAAUCGUAAGAUGAAGUAUAGGGGCUGACGCCUGCCCGGUGCUGGAAGGUUAAGAGGAGUGCUUAGCGCAAGCGAAGGUACGAAUUGAAGCCCCAGUAAACGGCGGCCGUAACUAUAACGGUCCUAAGGUAGCGAAAUUCCUUGUCGGGUAAGUUCCGACCCGCACGAAAGGCGUAACGAUUUGGGCACUGUCUCAACGAGAGACUCGGUGAAAUUUUAGUACCUGUGAAGAUGCAGGUUACCCGCGACAGGACGGAAAGACCCCAUGGAGCUUUACUGUAGUUUGAUAUUGAGUGUCUGUACCGCAUGUACAGGAUAGGUAGGAGCCGUAGAAAUCGGAACGCUAGUUUCGAUGGAGGCGCUGGUGGGAUACUACCCCUGCGUUAUGGCCACUCUAACCCGCACCACUAAUCGUGGUGGGAGACAGUGUCAGAUGGGCAGUUUGACUGGGGCGGUCGCCUCCUAAAGGUAACGGAGGCGCCCAAAGGUUCCCUCAGAAUGGUUGGAAAUCAUUCGAAGAGUGUAAAGGCAGAAGGGAGCUUGACUGCGAGACCAACAAGUCGAGCAGGGACGAAAGUCGGGCUUAGUGAUCCGGUGGUUCCGCAUGGAAGGGCCAUCGCUCAACGGAUAAAAGCUACCCUGGGGAUAACAGGCUUAUCUCCCCCAAGAGUCCACAUCGACGGGGAGGUUUGGCACCUCGAUGUCGGCUCGUCGCAUCCUGGGGCUGUAGUCGGUCCCAAGGGUUGGGCUGUUCGCCCAUUAAAGCGGCACGCGAGCUGGGUUCAGAACGUCGUGAGACAGUUCGGUCCCUAUCCGUCGCGGGCGUUGGAAAUUUGAGAGGAGCUGUCCUUAGUACGAGAGGACCGGGAUGGACUUACCGCUGGUGUACCAGUUGUUCUGCCAAGGGCAUUGCUGGGUAGCUAUGUAGGGAAGGGAUAAACGCUGAAAGCAUCUAAGUGUGAAGCCCACCUCAAGAUGAGAUUUCCCAUUUCUUUAAGAAAGUAAGAUCCCUGAGAGAUGAUCAGGUAGAUAGGUCAGGAGUGGAAGUACAGUGAUGUAUGGAGCGGACUGAUACUAAUCGAUCGAGGACUUAACCAA